rnacentral:rRNA from 1 species
UACGUAGGGUGCCAGCGUUGUUCGGAAUCAUUGGGCGUAAAGCGCGUGUAGGGGGCUUGCUAAGUCGAGUGUGAAAUCCCUGGGCUCAACCGAGGAAGUGCAUUCGAAACUAGCUCGCUAGAGGAUGGCAGAGGAAGGUGGAAUGCCAAGUGUAGAGGUGAAAUUCGUAGAUAUUUGGCGGAAUACCGGCGGCGAAGGCGGCCUUCUGGACCAUUCCUGACACUGAGACGCGAAAGCGUGGGGAGCAAACAGG